GGGCCAUGUGAGGGUCUAAUUCCUCUCUCUUCUUUAGGCUACAAGAGGCCUGCAGUCAUUCAAUCUAUGUACAUAUUUAAGCAACCAGGUAUUGGUGGUGAGGUCGUGCCGCACCAGGAUAAUACAUUCCUUUACACGGAACCUCGUACAUGCACAGGGUUGUGGCUUGCACUUGAAGAUGCAACAAUCAACAAUGGUUGCCUGUGGGCAAUUCCAGGAUCACA